CCCUGGUAGUUUAGCUGGUAAAGAAUCUGCCUGAAAUGCAGGAGACCCUGGUUUGAUUCCUGGGUCAGGAA
rnacentral:tRNA from 1 species